rnacentral:lncRNA from 1 species
UGGGCCUAAUGUCUUGACUUGACCCAAAUCCAAGAAGAAAGAGAUGGAGGCUGGACUUGUUACCGGGGGAUAAACAUCACGUAGAGAGAAAAAGAAAGGGGAAUCACGCAUAACGGAAGGAAAGGGAGGCGCUACAGGAAAAGAACAUUGAAGCAUAGUGGUGGAGGAUUGAAAGAAACAAGCAGCUCCCACAUCACGCCUAUUCUAUGGUUUUAUCUUCAUUGUUUCAUUUUUAUUUCACCAUGUGUAACUAAAUUCCUAUGAUUGAUCUUUAGGGGAUUCUGAUUAUUAUUUCUCUUGAACCAUGUGAUUAUCAUAUG